rnacentral:rRNA from 1 species
GAUGAACGCUGGCGGCGUGCCUAAUACAUGCAAGUCGAGCGAAUGGAUUAAGAGCUUGCUCUUAUGAAGUUAGCGGCGGACGGGUGAGUAACACGUGGGUAACCUGCCCAUAAGACUGGGAUAACUCCGGGAAACCGGGGCUAAUACCGGAUAAUAUUUUGAACUGCAUGGUUCAAAAUUGAAAGGCGGCUUCGGCUGUCACUUAUGGAUGGACCCGCGUCGCAUUAGCUAGUUGGUGAGGUAACGGCUCACCAAGGCAACGAUGCGUAGCCGCACUGAGAGGGUGAUCGGCCACACUGGGACUGAGACACGGCCCAGACUCCUACGGGAGGCAGCAGUAGGGAAUCUUCCGCAAUGGACGAAAGUCUGACGGAGCAACGCCGCGUGAGUGAUGAAGGCUUUCGGGUCGUAAAACUCUGUUGUUAGGGAAGAACAAGUGCUAGUUGAAUAAGCUGGCACCUUGACGGUACCUACCAGAAAGCCACGGCUAACUACGUGCCAGCAGCCGCAGUAA